CAACAUCAUACGUAAAGCAGAGAUAAAAAGAGUAUCGAUUGUUUUGACCAGUUGACAGCUAUCAGUUUUCAAGAGAGAAUUUCCAAGGAUCGGCACCCUUUCAACCAGCAUGGCUCAGUGAAGUUCACAGUGCAGGCCCCGAGGACCCGGUACACCAGGGAGAUCGUCUUCCACUUCCAGGACUUAGUGGUAUCGUUCGGAGGAGCAGCUGGCCUAUUCCUCGGCGCGAGUUUCAUCAGUUUCGUGGAGAUAUUAUAUUUCCUACUAACCAGACUCUUCAAGACUAUUGCAAGACGGGAAGAAAGAAAGGUUGUGAAGACUACAGCUGUCAAGGUAAAAAAGCCGGCGAUUUCUCAUGAAACAAUGAGAAUUAAUCAGCUAACGGCCAUAUUUGAUGCGCAGAAGACAUAUGAUGGCAGACCUGGA